CCCCUCCUGAAGUCCUUGUCCCACUGAUCUCAGUACUGCAGUGGCUCAAAAAGGAGGAAAAGUCAAACUGAAGUGGUCUUGGAGCCUUUAAUGACUUACAAGUUCAUAUCAAACAUAG
rnacentral:snoRNA from 1 species